UACGUAGGGUGCGAGCGUUGUCCGGAAUUAUUGGGCGUAAAGAGCUCGUAGGCGGUCUGUCGCGUCGGUCGUGAAAACUUGGGGCUUAACCCUGAGCUUGCGGUCGAUACGGGCAUGACUGGAGUUCGGCAGGGGAGACUGGAAUUCCUGGUGUAGCGGUGAAAUGCGCAGAUAUCAGGAGGAACACCUAUUGCGAAGGCAGCUCGCUGGGACGUAACUGACGCUGAGACGCGAAAGCGUGGGGAGCGAACAGG
rnacentral:rRNA from 1 species